rnacentral:lncRNA from 1 species
UCUGACAAGGACUCCCACGUCCCUCCCCGGCUAACCUGGAUCCUGCUCAACCCAACACCUGCCUUCUCUCGGUCCCUGGGUUCCCGCAGGCCUUGGGGCCCCACAGUCAUAUCUGCUGUUCCUGCAGCUCGGCACAGUCACAGCAACUCUCCAAAUCAUGACGCUCAAAAUGCCACAUCUAAAAAGAACAUCCGGGCUCUGCCCCUAAGAAAGAAUUCAUGCACCUACAAAGAGGAAGGAACGGCACAGCCAUCCACCUUUCAACUCCUGAGUUUCCAUCUGCACCCUUCAACACUUAUUAGGACUUACAUGAAACUAUGUGACAUCUUUUUAUUUCUAUUAAACAAAAUACAGCUUUAAAAA